CGGACAGUGCCUGGUGGGUAGUUUGACUGGGGCGGUCUCCUCCCAAAGAGUAACGGAGGAGCACGAAGGUGGGCUAAUCACGGUUGGACAUCGUGAGGUUAGUGCAAUGGCAUAAGCCCGCUUGACUGCGAGAAUGACAAUUCGAGCAGGUGCGAAAGCAGGUCAUAGUGAUCCGGUGGUUCUGAAUGGAAGGGCCAUCGCUCAACGGAUAAAAGGUACUCCGGGGAUAACAGGCUGAUACCGCCCAAGAGUUCAUAUCGACGGCGGUGUUUGGCACCUCGAUGUCGGCUCAUCACAUCCUGGGGCUGAAGUCGGUCCCAAGGGUAUGGCUGUUCGCCAUUUAAAGUGGUACGCGAGCUGGGUUUAGAACGUCGUGAGACAGUUCGGUCCCUAUCUGCCGUGGGCGUUGGAAGAUUGAAGG
rnacentral:rRNA from 1 species